rnacentral:rRNA from 1 species
AGAGUUUGAUCCUGGCUCAGGAUGAACGCUAGCUACAGGCUUAACACAUGCAAGUCGAGGGGCAGCAUGGUCUUAGCUUGCUAAGGCCGAUGGCGACCGGCGCACGGGUGAGUAACACGUAUCCAACCUGCCGUCUACUCUUGGACAGCCUUCUGAAAGGAAGAUUAAUACAAGAUGGCAUCAUGAGUCCGCAUGUUCACAUGAUUAAAGGUAUUCCGGUAGACGAUGGGGAUGCGUUCCAUUAGAUAGUAGGCGGGGUAACGGCCCACCUAGUCAACGAUGGAUAGGGGUUCUGAGAGGAAGGUCCCCCACAUUGGAACUGAGACACGGUCCAAACUCCUACGGGAGGCAGCAGUGAGGAAUAUUGGUCAAUGGGCGAUGGCCUGAACCAGCCAAGUAGCGUGAAGGAUGACUGCCCUAUGGGUUGUAAACUUCUUUUAUAAAGGAAUAAAGUCGGGUAUGGAUACCCGUUUGCAUGUACUUUAUGAAUAAGGAUCGGCUAACUCCGUGCCAGCAGCCGCGGUAAUACGGAGGAUCCGAGCGUUAUCCGGAUUUAUUGGGUUUAAAGGGAGCGUAGAUGGAUGUUUAAGUCAGUUGUGAAAGUUUGCGGCUCAACCGUAAAAUUGCAGUUGAUACUGGAUAUCUUGAGUGCAGUUGAGGCAGGCGGAAUUCGUGGUGUAGCGGUGAAAUGCUUAGAUAUCACGAAGAACUCCGAUUGCGAAGGCAGCCUGCUAAGCUGCAACUGACAUUGAGGCUCGAAAGUGUGGGUAUCAAACAGGAUUAGAUACCCUGGUAGUCCACACGGUAAACGAUGAAUACUCGCUGUUUGCGAUAUACAGCAAGCGGCCAAGCGAAAGCGUUAAGUAUUCCACCUGGGGAGUACGCCGGCAACGGUGAAACUCAAAGGAAUUGACGGGGGCCCGCACAAGCGGAGGAACAUGUGGUUUAA